UUUAAAUGUCCCUUCUGUUUCCGCGUCGAGAACCACCCCCGGCAGUUUGUCCAAUACCGUAAAGUCGCAGAGACGGGGACCAAAGGGGAUCACAGUGGAGCAGCGAACAAGUGGAGCCAUUCAUCACAGCCCUGAGCCUCAGCACGGAGCCGGACAGAAACAUGGAUCGCGUACAGGCUGGGAUGCUCCAGGCUGGGAGGUUCUCCGGACUGGAAUCAGAGGGAACUCGAACACUGAACCAAACCGAUUUAACCACCAAUCCUGAUGAAGGAGGUGGAGGCAUUGAGGCCGAGGGUGAAGGAUGAACCCACUACUCCACGACACUUUACUCGCUCAGCGCUGAACGACCCGUGGCCAUCGUCUCCGUUUCGGGAACUCUGCGGCUCAUGUGCGGCUCAUGUCCUGUGGAUGUAUUUUUUAUUAUUGUCUGCACAAUGUAUUCAUUUUUUUUCCCACACAUUGGAUGCAUAUCUGUCUUUGUGCUUGGGGUUUUUCAUGAAUUCUAUUGCGUUUCUUUGUUUUGUGGCUGCAUACAAGGAGAUGAAACUGAAGGUUGUAUGUGGUAUAUGUACUUUGACAGUAAAUGAACUUUGAACUGUUUAAGAUGUGAACCACUGUGUAAACACAC